AGUACAUGGUCAGCAUGGACCAACUAAUUGACUAGAUGGACCACUGCCAACAGGAGCUGGCUUUCCACCGCAGGAGGUCAAGGCCUUCAGCUCACCUUGUCAUUAGAUUUGUGACUAUGUCCAACCCUGCUGCCUUGAUGAACCUCUUUGGUUUUCUGGAGGCUGAUCUGAGUUCUUGGAGGUCAUAUGUCAAGUCUGUCACUCAGCAGCUGGGGUAUCCUAGGAUCUUUCUGAAUCUUCAGAGAUGCAAAUAGGUGUGCAGAGYGUGGAUGCUACCCUUGUGCAGAAGGAGUAAUGCCAACCAAAGCCUUCAACUGGAGCCUUCCUGAGGAUGCUGCAGAGAGAGCACCUCAGGAUGCCUGUGAUACAAGGAGCAAAUAGCAUCAGGGUAGAUGGGCAGAUGACAUUCAAGAUACAGUUCCAUUUUAUUUACAGAAAUUUUUAUGAAAACAAAUUYUCAGGAAGUACUGGAAAACCAAUACCUUGAAAAAUUACAAGAGGAGACUCAGGAGCAGCAAGACCAGAGCCAUAGAUGGAACCCCAGUGAGGCGGUAGGUUGGAAGAACCAAUGAAAUGCACACUUACUGUGAAGCUUCCCUGCCUGAUACUCAAAAGGGUACUUGUGAAUUAGGGGGGGAACUUCAUUGAUUCUCAAUAUCACUGCAACUGUGAUGCUGACUGGAAUGAAUGGUGAUUUCCACAUGCUUUCUCUGU